AACGAACGCUGGCGGCGUGCCUAAUACAUGCAAGUCGAGCGGACCAAGAAGAGCUUGCUCUUUGAGGUUAGCGGCGGACGGGUGAGUAACACGUGGGCAACCUGCCUGUAAGCUUGGGAUAACUCCGGGAAACCGGUGCUAAUACCGAAUACAACAAAGGACCGCAUGGUCCCUUGUGAAAAGACCUUGUGUCACUUACAGAUGGGCCCGCGGCGCAUUAGCUUGUUGGUGGGGUAACGGCCUACCAAGGCGACGAUGCGUAGCCGACCUGGGAGGGUGAUCGGCCCCACUGGGACUGAGACGCGGCCCAGACUCCUACGGGAGGCAGCAGUAGGGAAUCUUCCGCAAUGGACGAAAGUCUGACGGAGCUACGCCGCGUGAGCGAUGAAGGUUUUCGGAUCGUAAAGCUCUGUUGUCAGGGAAGAACCGCCGGGAUAACCUCCCGGUCUGACGGUACCUGGCGAGAAAGCCCCGGCUAACUACGUGCCAGCCGCCGCCGUAAUAC
rnacentral:rRNA from 1 species